rnacentral:rRNA from 1 species
AUGAAAAGAGAGGAAGAGGGCUUCGACACAACACAACAGAACAGGCUGCCCUUCAAUCAGAGCAGCCGGCAAGGCAUGCUCAUGCUUUCUCCUUCUUUUUCCUCCCAUUUUUUAUGUGUUUUAUUUAUAUAUUUGCCUUGCCUGUUGGUGGCGUGUUAUUGGGAGGCACGAUCUGUGCAUAAAGAGUUGUGCUUUUCCACGACCCAGCCAAUACGAUACGAUUGCUUGGUUGGUUGGUUGUCGCCGGCCACUGCGUUUGCGUGCUCCCCACCCAGCUCAGUCCACCGAGCUGUUGCAUUCCCAAAGAGAGAGAAUUCUGGCUUUUCUUAUCCUGCUACCCAGGCCAGGCACCCGGUUUUCGUCUUCAUAAAAACCACGACAAUCAUCUGUUUUUGCUUCAUUUCUUCUGUUCUCAACAUCUUUGUCAAUCUUGUUUUUGCUCCACUGUAA